rnacentral:rRNA from 1 species
GACGAACGCUGGCGGCGUGCCUAAUACAUGCAAGUAGAACGCACAGUUUAUACCGUAGCUUGCUACACCAUAGACUGUGAGUUGCGAACGGGUGAGUAACGCGUAGGUAACCUGCCUGGUAGCGGGGGAUAACUAUUGGACACGAUAGCUAAUACCGCAUAAUAUUAAUUAUUGCAUGAUAAUUAAUUGAAAGGUGCAAUUGCACCACUACAAGAUGGACCUGCGUUGUAUUAGCUAGUAGGUGAGGUAACGGCUCACCUAGGCGACGAUACAUAGCCGAACUGAGAAGGUGAUCGGCCACACUGGGACUGGGACACGGCCCAGACUCCUACGGGAGGGAGCAGGAGGGAAUCUUCCGCAAUGGACGAAAGUCUGAACGAGCAACGCCGCGUGAGUGAAGGAGGUUUUCGGAUCGUAAAGCUCUGUUGAAAGGGAAGAACGGGUGUGAUAGUGGAAAGUGCACAUUGUGACGGUAUCUUACCAGAAAGGGACGGCUAACUACGUG